rnacentral:rRNA from 1 species
CACGUAGGGUGCGAGCGUUGUCCGGAAUUAUUGGGCGUAAAGAGCUCGUAGGCGGUGUGUCGCGUCGGCCGUGAAAACCUGCAGCUUAACUGUGGGCUUGCGGUCGAUACGGGCAUCACUGGAGUUCGGCAGGGGAGACUGGAAUUCCUGGUGUAGCGGUGAAAUGCGCAGAUAUCGGGAAGAACACCUAUGGCGAAGGCAGCUCUCUGGGACGGUACUGACGCUGAGACGCGAAAGCGUGGGGAGCAAACAGG